UGGGGAAUAUUGCACAAUGGGCGCAAGCCUGAUGCAGCCAUGCCGCGUGUGUGAAGAAGGCCUUCGGGUUGUAAAGCACUUUCAGCGAGGAGGAAGGGUAGUGUGUUAAUAGCACAUUGCAUUGACGUUACUCGCAGAAGAAGCACCGGCUAACUCCGUGCCAGCAGCCGCGGUAAUGCGGAGGGUGCAAGCGUUAAUCGGAAUUACUGGGCGUAAAGCGCACGCAGGCGGUUUGUUAAGUCAGAUGUGAAAUCCCCGCGCUUAACGUGGGAACUGCAUUUGAAACUGGCAAGCUAGAGUCUUGUAGAGGGGGGUAGAAUUCCAGGUGUAGCGGUGAAAUGCGUAGAGAUCUGGAGGAAUACCGGUGGCGAAGGCGGCCCCCUGGACAAAGACUGACGCUCAGGUGCGAAAGCGUGGGGAGCAAACA
rnacentral:rRNA from 1 species